AAAGAAAAGAAGACGACACAGCCUGCCCAAGCCAAGUGAAUCAUCAUCGGAAUCAUCCGAUAUAUCAGCCGCAUAUUCGUCAAAGAGAGCCUACAACUGGUCCAAAGUUCCAUUCACAAAAUAUAACCUUAUUCCCGUGUGUCGUCUCUCUGUUUGAUGUUAGAAAUCUUCAAUCUUAUCAUGAAAUUCCAACGACAAACAAGCUGAGAGACAACCAACUACAAAAAAACGAAACCAAUACCAAAUCAAAUAUAUUGGAAACAGACACAGAAAAGUGAAACGACUUUUGUAACCAUAAACUAUAGACGACCUAGUUAACGAGGUAAAAGAAGCAA